rnacentral:lncRNA from 1 species
UAUAAAGUUAUUAUUUUCUUGAUAAACGGAGACGACAAAGGCUCCAAACCUCUUUGAACAUCAUCAUAUGUUAAUGCAGGAUGCAACUAGGCAUUAAAACAAUAUUGUCAUAUUUUUUGAAAUUUUCUCAAAAUCUACGGGCUAACCCCUACAAAAAUAUUGAAUUUUUGGUAAAUACUUUAUAUACUGAAGCCUAUAAUCUUUAGUGUUGUUUUAAAAUUUCUACCAUAUUAUACAUUUUUAUUAAUGUAUGCUAAACUCAUUUUCAUGCAAAAUGAGCAUCGUUCAAUGGUUUUUAUCAAUUAAUUUAGUAAAACUUCAUAAUACCUCCUAAAUCGAUGGAAUAACCACUAUAAAAUUAUUAUUUUCUUGAUAAAC